rnacentral:lncRNA from 1 species
AAAGUCCUUUUCUUAUCACUCUAUUAACUUUUGCAUAGUUGUACCUCUGUUGGGUUGUUGUCUGUUUUUUCACAGUGGCUGCAUGCCAGAUGUUGGUGAUUUCUAAUUAUAGCUCAUCUCUGUGCUUUGGAUCCUUUGCCAGAUCCUUUAUACUGCCAGACCCUCAGCCUUCCUUGUGGGAGCUGGAGAAACAGCUAUUGAGAGUUAAAUUCUUCAUUGAAGAAUGCAAUGAAAAGCAACGUGAAAAAGGCAAGGGUGUACCCAUGUAUCCCACAUUCAGGGUGUGACUGUUUGCAAGCAGACGUGCCUUCAGAUAGCCCACCAGGUCUGCAGAGCCUACAGAAAAAUGAAAGAUCACUCCAUACCAGGUAUCGUCUCAGUAAGUCAUGAGGUUAAGGCCAACAGAGUUUAGCUUCACACUUAGCAAAUCCCCGUUCUUGGCAGAACUCUCUUCUAAGCCCAGAUAACAUCAGAUAACAUGAGAAUCUUGCCUCCAAAGAUCUGCCUCUCUACCUCUUCAGGGCAGCAGGAGGCUUCCGCUGGCAGCUCUAAUCAGCGCAAGAUCAACACAAAUCCACACACGUCAAUCACUCUGUUUUCACCUACUCUAGAUUGCCUUCUUUCAGAUUUAAUUGUCUGAAUUUUAGUGUCUGUGAUAAGAACUCAGGGGUCAU